rnacentral:rRNA from 1 species
AGACCCGAAACCCGGUGAUCUAGCCAUGGGCAGGUUGAAGGUUGGGUAACACUAACUGGAGGACCGAACCGACUAAUGUUGAAAAAUUAGCGGAUGACCUGUGGCUGGGGGUGAAAGGCCAAUCAAACCGGGAGAUAGCUGGUUCUCCCCGAAAGCUAUUUAGGUAGCGCCUCGUGAAUUCAUCUCCGGGGGUAGAGCACUGUUUCGGCUAGGGGGCCAUCCCGGCUUACCAACCCGAUGCAAACUGCGAAUACCGGAGAAUGUUAUCACGGGAGACACACGGCGGGUGCUAACGUCCGUCGUGAAGAGGGAAACAACCCAGACCGCCAGCUAAGGUCCCAAAGUCAUGGUUAAGUGGGAAACGAUGUGGGAAGGCCCAGACAGCCAGGAUGUUGGCUUAGAAGCAGCCAUCAUUUAAAGAAAGCGUAAUAGCUCACUGGUCGAGUCGGCCUGCGCGGAAGAUGUAACGGGGCUAAACCAUGCACCGAAGCUGCGGCAGCGACGCUUAUGCGUUGCUGGGUAGGGGAGCGUUCUGUAA